rnacentral:rRNA from 1 species
AUUGAACGCUGGCGGCAGGCUUAACACAUGCAAGUCGAGCGGAGUGAUGGUGCUUGCACUAUCACUUAGCGGCGGACGGGUGAGUAAUGCUUAGGAAUCUGCCUAUUAGUGGGGGACAACAUCUCGAAAGGGAUGCUAAUACCGCAUACGUCCUACGGGAGAAAGCAGGGGAUCACUUGUGACCUUGCGCUAAUAGAUGAGCCUAAGUCGGAUUAGCUAGGUGGUGGGGUAAAGGCCUACCAAGGCGACGAUCUGUAGCGGGUCUGAGAGGAUGAUCCGCCACACUGGGACUGAGACACGGCCCAGACUCCUACGGGAGGCGGCAGUGGGGAAUAUUGGACAAUGGGGGGAACCCUGAUCCAGCCAUGCCGCGUGUGUGAAGAAGGCCUUAUGGUUGUAAAGCACUUUAAGCGAGGAGGAGGCUCUUUUGGUUAAUACCCAAGAUGAGUGGACGUUACUCGCAGAAUAAGCACCGGCUAACUCUGUGCCAGCCGCCGCGGUAAGAC